rnacentral:rRNA from 1 species
ACUCCUACGGGAGGCAGCAGUGGGGAAUCUUAGACAAUGGGGGCAACCCUGAUCUAGCCAUGCCGCGUGAGUGAUGAAGGCCUUAGGGUCGUAAAGCUCUUUCGCCAGGGAUGAUAAUGACAGUACCUGGUAAAGAAACCCCGGCUAACUCCGUGCCAGCAGCCGCGGUAAUACGGGAGGGGGUUAGCGUUGUUCGGAAUUACUGGGCGUAAAGCGCGCGUAGGCGGACUAGAAAGUUGGGGUGAAAUCCCGGGGCUCAACCUCGGAACUGCCUUCAAAACUCCUAGUCUAGAGUUCGAGAGAGGUGAGUGGAAUUCCAAGUGUAGAGGUGAAAUUCGUAGAUAUUUGGAGGAACACCAGUGGCGAAGGCGGCUCACUGGCUCGAUACUGACGCUGAGGUGCGAAAGUGUGGGGAGCAAACAGGAUUAGAUACCCUGGUAGGUCAGUC